rnacentral:rRNA from 1 species
AACGAACGCUGGCGGCAUGCCUAACACAUGCAAGUCGAACGAGACCUUCGGGUCUAGUGGCGCACGGGUGCGUAACGCGUGGGAACCUGCCCUUAGGUUCGGAAUAACUCCCCGAAAGGGGUGCUAAUACCGGAUAAUGUCUUCGGACCAAAGAUUUAUCGCCUUUGGAUGGUCCCGCGUUGGAUUAGCUAGUUGGUAGGGUAAAAGCCUACCAAGGCGACGAUCCAUAGCUGGUCUGAGAGGAUGAUCAGCCACACUGGGACUGAGACACGGCCCAGACUCCUACGGGAGGCAGCAGUGGGGAAUAUUGGAACAUCGGCGAAAGCCUGAUCCAGCAAUGCUGCGUGAGUGAUGAAGGCCUUAGGGUUGUAAAGCUCUUUUACCCGGGAUGAUAAUGACAGUACCGGGAGAAUAAGCUCCGGCUAACUCCGUG